UAGGGAAUCUUCGGCAAUGGACGAAAGUCUGACCGAGCAACGCCGCGUGAGUGAAGAAGGUUUUCGGAUCGUAAAACUCUGUUGUUAGAGAAGAACAAGGACGUUAGUAACUGAACGUCCCCUGACGGUAUCUAACCAGAAAGCCACGGCUAACUACGUGCCAGCAGCCGCGGUAAUACGUAGGUGGCAAGCGUUGUCCGGAUUUAUUGGGCGUAAAGCGAGCGCAGGCGGUUUCUUAAGUCUGAUGUGAAAGCCCCCGGCUCAACCGGGGAGGGUCAUUGGAAACUGGGGGACUUGAGUGCAGAAGAGGAGAGUGUAAUUCCAUGUGUAGCGGUGAAAUGCGUAGAUAUAUGGAGGAACACCAGUGGCGAAGGCGGGUCUCUGGUCUGUAACUGACGCUGAGGCUCGAAAGCGUGGGGAGCAAACAGG
rnacentral:rRNA from 1 species